rnacentral:rRNA from 1 species
AACGAACGCUGGCGGCAUGCCUAACACAUGCAAGUCGAACGAAACCUCCGGGUCUUGUGGCGCACGGGUGCGUCACGCGUGGGAACCUGCACUUAGGUUCGGAAUACCUCCCCGAAAGGGGUGCUAAUACCGGAUAAUGUCUUCUGACCAAAGAUUUAUGGCCUUUGGUUGGACCGGAGUGGGAUUCGAUAGUUGGUAGGGUAAAAGCCGACUAAGGCGUGGAUCCAUAGCUGGGCGGAGAGGAGGAUCAGCCACACUGGGACUAAGACACGGCCCAGACUCCUACGGGAGGCAGGAGAGGGUAAUAGUGGACAAUGGGGGAAGGCCUGAUGCAGCAAUGACGGGUGAGUGAUGAAGGCCUUAGGGAUGUAAAGCGCUUUUAACCGGGAUGAUAAUGACGGUACCGGGAGAAUAAGCCCCGGCUAACUACGUG